UACGGAGGGGGCUAGCGUUGUUCGGAAAUACUGGGCGUAAAGCGUACGUAGGCGGCUUGGCAAGUCAGGGGUGAAAUCCCGGAGCUCAACUCCGGAACUGCCCUUGAAACUGGUCGUCUAGAGAUCGGAAGAGGUGAGUGGAAUUCCCAGUGUAGAGGUGAAAUUCGUAGAUAUUGGGAAGAACACCAGUGGCGAAGGCGGCUCACUGGUCCGAUACUGACGCUGAGGUGCGAAAGCGUGGGGAGCAAACAGG
rnacentral:rRNA from 1 species